CAGUAGCCGCGGUAAUACGUAGGUGGCAAGCGUUGUCCGGAACUAUUGGGCGUAAAGGGCUCGCAGGCGGUUUCUUAAGUCUGAUGUGAAAGCCCCCGGCUCAACCGGGGAGGGUCAUUGGAAACUGGGAAACUUGAGUGCAGAAGAGGAGAGUGGAAUUCCACGUGUAGCGGUGAAAUGCGUAGAGAUGUGGAGGAACACCAGUGGCGAAGGCGACUCUCUGGUCUGUAACUGACGCUGAGGAGCGAAAGCGUGGGGAGCGAACAGGAUUAGAUACCCCAGUAGUCCCUGUCUCUUAUAA
rnacentral:rRNA from 1 species